rnacentral:piRNA from 1 species
UAGCUAGAGUAGAAGAAAUGCUGG